rnacentral:rRNA from 1 species
GAGUGGCGAACGGGUGAGUAACACGUGGGUAACCUGCCCAUCAGAAGGGGAUAACACUUGGAAACAGGUGCUAAUACCGUAUAACAAUCGAAACCGCAUGGUUUUGAUUUGAAAGGCGCUUUCGGGUGUCGCUGAUGGAUGGACCCGCGGUGCAUUAGCUAGUUGGUGAGGUAACGGCUCACCAAGGCCACGAUGCAUAGCCGACCUGAGAGGGUGAUCGGCCACAUUGGGACUGAGACACGGCCCAAACUCCUACGGGAGGCAGCAGUAGGGAAUCUUCGGCAAUGGACGAAAGUCUGACCGAGCAACGCCGCGUGAGUGAAGAAGGUUUUCGGAUCGUAAAACUCUGUUGUUAGAGAAGAACAAGGAUGAGAGUAACUGUUCAUCCCUUGACGGUAUCUAACCAGAAAGCCACGGCUAACUACGUGCCAGCAGCCGCGGUAAUACGUAGGUGGCAAGCGUUGUCCGGAUUUAUUGGGCGUAAAGCGAGCGCAGGCGGUUUCUUAAGUCUGAUGUGAAAGCCCCCGGCUCAACCGGGGAGGGUCAUUGGAAACUGGGAGACUUGAGUGCAGAAGAGGAGAGUGGAAUUCCAUGUGUAGCGGUGAAAUGCGUAGAUAUAUGGAGGAACACCAGUGGCGAAGGCGGCUCUCUGGUCUGUAACUGACGCUGAGGCUCGAAAGCGUGGGGAGCAAACAGGAUUAGAUACCCUGGUAGUCCACGCCGUAAACGAUGAGUGCUAAGUGUUGGAGGG